CGUACACUCCUGCGGGAGGCAGCAGUGGGGAAUAUUGGACAAUGGGCGCAAGCCUGAUCCAGCCAUGCCGCGUGAGUGAUGAAGGCCCUAGGGUUGUAAAGCUCUUUCACCGGUGAAGAUAAUGACGGUAACCGGAGAAGAAGCCCCGGCUAACUUCGUGCCAGCAGCCGCGGUAAUACGAAGGGGGCUAGCGUUGUUCGGAUUUACUGGGCGUAAAGCGCACGUAGGCGGACUAUUAAGUCAGGGGUGAAAUCCCGGGGCUCAACCCCGGAACUGCCUUUGAUACUGGUAGUCUUGAGUUCGAGAGAGGUGAGUGGAAUUCCGAGUGUAGAGGUGAAAUUCGUAGAUAUUCGGAGGAACACCAGUGGCGAAGGCGGCUCACUGGCUCGAUACUGACGCUGAGGUGCGAAAGCGUGGGGAGCAAACAGGAUUAGAAACCCCUGUAGUCCC
rnacentral:rRNA from 1 species